rnacentral:lncRNA from 1 species
GGAAUGGACAGCCUGUUGAUUGAAAUAAUUAUAGAAAACUUUCCAGACAUAAAAGAGGAAAUGGAUGUACAAAUUGUAGAUGCAUACAGGACACCGAGCAUACAAAAUCACAGUAGACCAACACCAAGACACAUUGUUAUGAAGAUAUCCAAUAUACAGAAGAAAGAGAAAAUAUUAAAAGCUUCAAGAGAAAGGAGGCAGAGUACAUUUAGGGGUAAACCAAUAAGGUUAACAAUGGAUUUUUCAUCAGAGACGCUGAAAGCAAGAAGAUCCUGGAACAACAUAUUUCAAACUCUGAAAGACAGUGGAUGCCAACUAAGAAUUUUUAUACCCAGCAAAAUUAAGCUUCAGGUACGACAACAAAAUAAAAAUCUUUCAUGACAAACAAAAGUUAAAAGAAUUUGCAGCCAGAAAACCAGCAUUG